rnacentral:rRNA from 1 species
GACGGAGGAUGCAAGCGUUAUCCGGAAUGAUUGGGCGUAAAGCGUCCGCAGGUGGCAGUUCAAGUCUGCUGUCAAAGACCGGGGCUCAACCUGGGAAUUGCAUUCAAAACUGGCUAACUAGAGUAUGUGAGAGGGGGGUAGAAUUCCAAGUGUAGCGGUGAAAUGCGUAGAGAUUUGGAGGAAUACCAGUGGCGAAGGCGGCCCCCUGGCACAAUACUGACGCUGAGGUGCGAAAGCGUGGGGAGCAAACAGG